CCUACGGGUGGCAGCAGUGAGGCAUAUUGGUCAAUGGACGAGAGUCUGAACCAGCCAAGUAGCGUGUAGGAUGACUGCCCUAUGGGUUGUAAACUUCUUUUAUAUGGGCAUAAAAUGUUUUACGUGUGGGGCUUUGUAUGUACCAUAUGAAUAAAGUACGGCUAAACACGUUCCAGCAGCCGCGGCACUCCGGAGGAUCCGAGCGUUAUCCGGAUUUAUUGGGUUUACAGUGAGCGUAGGUGGAUUGUUAAGUCAGUUGUGAAAGUUUAGGGCUCAACCGGAAAAUUGUAGUUUGAACUGGGUGUCUUGAGUACGUUAGAGGUAGGCGGAAUUCGUGGUGUAGCGGUGAAAUGCUUAGAGAUGACGAAGAACUCCGAUUGCGAAGGCAGCUCACUGGACUGCAACUGACACUGAGGCUCGAAAGUGUGGGUAUCAAACAGGAUUAGAUACCCUGGUAGUC
rnacentral:rRNA from 1 species